rnacentral:rRNA from 1 species
GAUGAACGCUGGCGGCGUGCCUAAUACAUGCAAGUAGAACGCUGAAGGAGGAGCUUGCUCUUCCGGAUGAGUUGCGAACGGGUGAGUAACGCGUAGGUAACCUGCCUGGUAGCGGGGGAUAACUAUUGGAAACGAUAGCUAAUACCGCAUGACAACAGUUAUUGCAUGAUAACUGUUUAAAAGGGGCAACUGCUCCACUACCAGAUGGACCUGCGUUGUAUUAGCUAGUUGGUGAGGUAACGGCUCACCAAGGCGACGAUACAUAGCCGACCUGAGAGGGUGAUCGGCCACACUGGGACUGAGACACGGCCCAGACUCCUACGGGAGGCAGCAGUAGGGAAUCUUCGGCAAUGGACGGAAGUCUGACCGAGCAACGCCGCGUGAGUGAAGAAGGUUUUCGGAUCGUAAAGCUCUGUUGUAAGAGAAGAACGAGUGUGAGAGUGGAAAGUUCACACUGUGACGGUAUCUUACCAGAAAGGGACGGCUAACUACGUG